GCUGGAAACCAGACGCUAAAGCUUGCAGCUGUGCAGCUAGGGGAGCAUCUGUUUUCCACUUGAGAGCAACCCGGGCACGCGAGAACGGCCCGAUUUCGGUGCAGGGGUGCGUCCCGAAGGAACGGGGGACUGUUUCUGCGCGGACAGGCGAACCCGGCAGGGGAAACCGAGGCCACGCUAGGUCCGCAGCCCCGAGGUGUCCACAAGAGCUCCGCUCGCGCAAGGGCGCGGAGCGAGGCUGCCCGCGGGACCG
rnacentral:lncRNA from 1 species